AUUGAACGCUGGCGGCAGGCCUAACACAUGCAAGUCGAGCGGAUGAGUGGAGCUUGCUCCAUGAUUCAGCGGCGGACGGGUGAGUAAUGCCUAGGAAUGUGCCUGGUAGUGGGGGACAACGUUUCGAAAGGAACGCUAAUACCGCAUACGUCCUACGGGAGAAAGCAGGGGACCUUCGGGCCUUGCGAUAUAAGAUGAGCCUAGGUCGGAUUAGCUAGGAGGUGAGGUAAUGGCUCACCUAGGCGACGAUCCGUAACUGGUCUGAGAGGAUGAUCAGUCACACUGGAACUGAGACACGGUCCAGACUCCUACGGGAGGCAGCAGUGGGGAAUAUUGGACAAUGGGCGAAAGCCUGAUCCAGCCAUGCCGCGUGUGUGAAGAAGGUCUUCGGAUUGUAAAGCACUUUAAGUUGGGAGGAAGGGCAGUAAGUUAAUACCUUGCUGUUUUGACGUUACCAACAGAAUAAGCACCGGCUAACUUCGUGCCAGCCGCCGCCGUAAAAC
rnacentral:rRNA from 1 species